rnacentral:rRNA from 1 species
GGGACAGCCUCGGGAAACCGUGGGUAAUACCGGGUACUCCGCCACCCCCGCAUGGGGGAGGCGGGAGAGCGUAUGCGGCGGGGGAUGGGCCCGCGGCCUGUUAGCUAGUUGGCGGGGCAACGGCCCACCAAGGCGAUUAUGGGUAGCUGGGUUGAGAGACCGACCAGCCAGAUUGGGACUGAGACACGGCCCAGACUCCUACGGGAGGCAGCAGUGGGGAAUCUUGCGCAAUGGGGGCAACCCUGACGCAGCGACGCCGCGUGCGGGACGAAGGCCUUCGGGUCGUAAACCGCUUUCAGCAGGGACGAGGCCGCAAGGUGACGGUACCUGCAGAAGAAGCCCCGGCUAACUACGUGCCAGCAGCCGCGGUAAUACGUAGGGGGCGAGCGUUAUCCGGAUUCAUUGGGCGUAAAGCGCUCGUAGGCUGCCCGCUAGGUCCGGGGUCAAAUCCGGGGGCUCAACCCCCGCACGCCCCGGAUGCCGGCGGGCUUGAGUCGGGUAGGGGAAGGCGGAAUUCCAGGUGUAGCGGUGGAAUGCGCAGAUAUCUGGAAGAACACCGGUGGCGAAGGCGGCCUUCUGGGCCUCGACUGACGCUGAGGAGCGAAAGCUGGGGGAGCGAACAGGAUUAGAUACCCUGGUAGUCCCAGCCGUAA